GGGAGUCUCAAGCUCAGUGGUAGAGCAUCUGCUUUGCCUGCAAAAAGGCCUCAGGUUCAAUCUCCAGCACCUCCA